UGAUGAUGCUGCAGAGGUUCUGCUCCCUAAA
rnacentral:piRNA from 1 species